AAUAUUUCACAAUGGGGGAAACCCUGAUGCAGCGACGCCGCGUGAGCGAAGAAGGCCUNCGUGUCNUNAAGCUCUGUCCUAAGGGNCGAAACGGACGGUACCAUAGGAGGAAGCUCCGGCUAACUACGUGCCAGCAGCCGCGGUAAUACGUAGGGGGCGAGCGUUAUCCGGAAUUAUUGGGCGUAAAGGGUGCGUAGGCGGCCUUUUAAGUCAGAUGUGAAAGGCUACGGCUUAACCGUAGGUAGCUUUUGAAACUAAUAGGCUUGAGUGCAGGAGAGGAGAGUGGCAUUACUAGUGUAGCGGUGAAAUGCGUAUAUAUUAGGAGGAACAACAGUGGCGAAGGCGACUCUCUGGACUGCAACUGACGCUGAGGCACGAAAGCGUGGGGAGCGAAC
rnacentral:rRNA from 1 species